rnacentral:rRNA from 1 species
CCUACGUGAGGCAGCAGUGAGGAAUAUUGGUCAAUGGGCUUACGCCUGAACCAGCCAAGUCGCGUGAGGGAAGACUGCACUAUGGGUUGUAAACCUCUUUUGUCAGGGAGCAAUUGGCGCUACGUGUAGCGUUAUCGAGAGUACCUGAAGAAAAAGCAUCGGCUAACUCCGGGCCAGCAGCCGCGGUAAUACGGAGGAUGCGAGCGUGAUCCGGAUUUAUUGGGUUUAAGGGGUGCGUAGGCGGACUGCCAAGUCAGCGGUAAAAGCGCGGGGCUCAACCUCGCUACGCCGUUGAAACUGGCGUUCUUGAGUGGGCGAGAAGUAUGCGGAAUGCGUGGUGUAGCGGUGAAAUGCAUAGAUAUCACGCAGAACUCCGAUUGCGAAGGCAGCAUACCGGCGCCCAACUGACGCUGAAGCACGAAAGCGUGGGUAUCGAACAGGAUUAGAUACCCUAGUAGUC